rnacentral:rRNA from 1 species
UACGAAGGGGGCUAGCGUUGUUCGGAAUUACUGGGCGUAAAGCGCACGUAGGCGGGUCGUUAGGUCAGGGGUGAAAUCCCAGAGCUCAACUCUGGAACUGCCUUUGAUACUGGCGACCUAGAGUUCGGAAGAGGUUAGUGGAAUUCCCAGUGUAGAGGUGAAAUUCGUAGAUAUUGGGAAGAACACCAGUGGCGAAGGCGGCUAACUGGUCCGAUACUGACGCUGAGGUGCGAAAGCGUGGGGAGCAAACAGG